rnacentral:rRNA from 1 species
GAUGAACGCUGGCGGCGUGCCUAAUACAUGCAAGUCGAGCGAAUGGAUUAAGAGCUUGCUCUUAUGAAGUUAGCGGCGGACGGGUGAGUAACACGUGGGUAACCUGCCCAUAAGACUGGGAUAACUCCGGGAAACCGGGGCUAAUACCGGAUAACAUUUUGAACCGCAUGGUUCGAAAUUGAAAGGCGGCUUCGGCUGUCACUUAUGGAUGGACCCGCGUCGGAUUAGCUAGUUGGUGGGGUAACGGCUCACCAAGGCAACGAUGCGUAGCCGCACUGAGAGGGUGAUCGGCCACGCUGGGACUGAGACACGGCCCAGACUCCUACGGGAGGCAGCAGUAGGGAAUCUUCCGCAAUGGACGAAAGUCUGACGGAGCAACGCCGCGUGAGUGAUGAAGGCUUUCGGGUCGUAAAACUCUGUUGUUAGGGAAGAACAAGUGCUAGUUGAAUAAGCUGGCACCUUGACGGUACCUAACCAGAAAGCCACGGCUAACUACGUGCCAGCCGCCGCGGUAA